rnacentral:rRNA from 1 species
GAUGAACGCUGGCGGCGUGCCUAAUACAUGCAAGUCGAGCGAACGGACGAGAAGCUUGCUUUUCUGAUGUUAGCGGCGGACGGGUGAGUAACACGUGGAUAACCUACCUAUAAGACUGGGAUAACUUCGGGAAACCGGAGCUAAUACCGGAUAAUAUUUUGAACCGCAUGGUUCAAAAGUGAAAGACGGUCUUGCUGUCACUUAUAGAUGGAUCCGCGCUGCAUUAGCUAGUUGGUAAGGUAACGGCUUACCAAGGCAACGAUGCAUAGCCGACCUGAGAGGGUGAUCGGCCACACUGGAACUGAGACACGGUCCAGACUCCUACGGGAGGCAGCAGUAGGGAAUCUUCCGCAAUGGGCGAAAGCCUGACGGAGCAACGCCGCGUGAGUGAUGAAGGUCUUCGGAUCGUAAAACUCUGUUAUUAGGGAAGAACAUAUGUGUAAGUAACUGUGCACAUCUUGACGGUACCUAAUCAGAAAGCCACGGCUAACAACGUG